AUUGAACGCUGGCGGCAGGCCUAACACAUGCAAGUCGAGCGGAUGAAGGGAGCUUGCUCCUGGAUUCAGCGGCGGACGGGUGAGUAAUGCCUAGGAAUCUGCCUGGUCGUGGGGGAUAACGUCCGGAAACGGGCGCUAAUACCGCAUACGACCUGAGGUAGAAAGUGGGUGAUCUUCGGACCUCACGCUAUCAGAUUAGCAUAGGUCGGAUUAGCUAGUUGGUGGGGUAAAGGCCUACCAAGGCGAGGAUCCGUAACUGGUCUGAGAGGAUGAUCAGUCACACUGGAACAGAGACACGGUACAGACUCCUACGGGAGGAAGCAGUGGGGACUAUUGGACGAUGGGCGAAAGCCUGAUCUAGCCAUGCCGCGUGUGUCAAGAAGGUCUUCGGAUUGUAAAGCACUUUAAGUUGGGAGGAAGGAAAGUACGUUAAUACCUUGCUAUUUUGACGUUACCAACAGAAUAAGCACCGGCUAACUUCGUG
rnacentral:rRNA from 1 species